rnacentral:rRNA from 1 species
GACGAACGCUGGCGGCGUGCUUAACACAUGCAAGUCGAACGGAAAGGCCCUGCUUUUGUGGGGUGCUCGAGUGGCGAACGGGUGAGUAACACGUGAGUAACCUGCCCUUGACUUUGGGAUAACUUCAGGAAACUGGGGCUAAUACCGGAUAGGAGCUCCUGCUGCAUGGUGGGGGUUGGAAAGUUUCGGCGGUUGGGGAUGGACUCGCGGCUGAUCAGCUUGUUGGUGGGGUAGUGGCUUACCAAGGCUUUGACGGGUAGCCGGCCUGAGAGGGUGACCGGCCACAUUGGGACUGAGAUACGGCCCAGACUCCUACGGGAGGCAGCAGUGGGGAAUAGUGCACAAUGGGCGGAAGCCUGAUGCAGCAACGCCGCGUGCGGGAUGACGGCCUUCGGGUUGUAAACCGCUUUCGCCUGUGACGAAGCGUGAGUGACGGUAAUGGGUAAAGAAGCACCGGCUAACUACGUG